rnacentral:rRNA from 1 species
GACGAACGCUGGCGGCGUGCCUAAUACAUGCAAGUCGAACGCAGUGGGGACGGGUGAGUAACACGUGGGUAACCUCCCAUCAGAGGGGAUAACACUUGGAAACAGGUGCUAAACCGAUACUGGUUUAUGAACCCGGGGUGCAUUAGCUAGUUGGUGGGGUAACGGCUCACCAAGGCAACGAUGCAUAGCCGACCUGAGAGGUUGAUCGGCCACACUGGGACUGAGACACGGCCCAGACUCCUACGGGAGGCAGCAGUAGGGAAUCUUGGGCAAUGGACGAAAGUCUGACCGAGCAACGCCGCGUGAGUGAAGAAGGUUUUCGGAUCGUAAAACUCUGUUGUUAGAGAAGCGGUAUCUAACCAGAAAGCCACGGCUAACUACGUGCCAGCAGCCGCGGUAAUAC